AUUGAACGCUGGCGGCAGGCCUAACACAUGCAAGUCGAACGGUAGCACAGAGAGCUUGCUCUCGGGUGACGAGUGGCGGACGGGUGAGUAACGUCUGGGAAACUGCCCGAUGGAGGGGGAUAACUACUGGAAACGGUAGCUAAUACCGCAUAACGUCGCAAGACCAAAGUGGGGUACCUUCGGGCCUCACACCCUCGGAUGUGCCCAGAUGGGAUUAGCUAGUAGGUGGGGUAAUGGCUCACCUAGGCGACGAUCCCUAGCUGGUCUGAGAGGAUGACCAGCCACACUGGAACUGAGACACGGUCCGGACUCCUACGGGAGGCAGCGGUGGGGAAUAUUGCACAAUGGGCGCAAGCCUGAUGCAGCCAUGCCGCGUGUAUGAAGAAGGCCUUCGGGUUGUGAAGUACUUUCAGCGGGGAGGAAGGCGGUGAAGUUAAUAGCUUCACCGAUUGACGUUACCCGCAGAAGAAGCACCGGCUAACUCCGUGCCAGCCGCCGCUGUAACAC
rnacentral:rRNA from 1 species